GGGGCUGACUGGUUUUGACAGCAAGACGAAUGGUUAUGUAAGCAUGCCGAGCCUUGCGAUGACGCUCGUAAAUCUUGAUCGCGAACAACAAUUGGCGAAAACAAUUACGCUCUCGCAGCUUAAUCGAAGUACAGUAGAUUCAAGUUUAAUCUUGCCACAAGGUGACAAGACGAGACAUCCCGCGGGUGGAGAUGCCUGAUUCCGGCCUGAGCACGGGGUGCUAAUCAACUUCAGGAUAGUUCUGUUAAAGCUUCGGUGGCAGGGCGAAAUUCAGAAGAUAAGCGUUGAUUUAGGGUGUCUGUUCCCUUGUUAGCGACGAAAACCAAUGACAGAAUAAGCAUGUAGAAAGCUUAGUGAUUCCUUGUUUGGACGAGGGUUCGAGUCCCUCCAGCUCCACAG
rnacentral:tmRNA from 1 species